GCUCUCCAAUCAGCAUCCUCUGCUGCUGACUCUGCUACUGUAUGAGGGCAUUGACUGGAGGAGGAGCAUAGAAGACACAUUUUGUCUCCUCAGUCACCCUGUAGGCCUUGCAAAUAUAUUUGAAGGGUUCAGUUCAAGCUGUAUUUGUUUUCUGGAGAUGACGUUAACAAUGCUACUCUACAGAGUUCUUUGGCUCAGCAUCCUAACAGGUGUUUGCACAGGACAGAAAAUUACUUCAGACAGAACUGAAGUGUUCCCAGAGGAAGGAGUGAAUGUUAGCUUGUCCUGUAGCUACUCCUCUGCAGAUUCUCUCCAGUGGUAUGUCCAGUAUCCCAGAUCAGCUCCACAGUUCCUCCUGCUUGUGCUGCACUCCACUGGGAAAGACCCGAGCCCAGGCAAACAUCCUCGCCUGAUGGGGAAACUAAACCAAGAGAAAACUCAAGUGUUUCUGCAGAUCUCCUCUGUUCAAGUCUCUGACUCUGCACUGUACUACUGUGCUCUGACGCCCACGGUGACACGAAACCACAGACUGCAAUACAAAAACCUGACUGACAGCGAGGGAUUGUAUUGCUCUGUUGUCUGA